GCAGGAGUAGGGCUGAUUGGAGCCAUUGUACAGUGUCGGGAACAUACCAGGACACUGAGAAUAGUGUCAUGUCAUAAGGACCCAGAGCAGAUGGACCCUGCUGUGAUGCACAAAGGGAUGAAAUGGGAUUUUGUUGGCGCCAAGACCUGAUUGCUUUGCCAGUUACCCUCACCCCUGGCUCACGAGGAAAGUGUAUGGAGGAGAUUCUCGAGGAACCACAUGAGUUUUAAUAUCAUAAGCUUCUGCCCUGAAUUGAAAGAUAGCAGCAUUUUAAUCAUCUCUUCCAUUAAACCAAGAUUACAUAAAAGCGUUUGAGGACACUGAGGACUGGGACUUCUAAUUUUGCUUCAGAAACCAGUACUCAAAAUGUCUGGUUUGGAGGAGCUGGGCUGCUUGGAUCAGAGGUUCCAUGGUCUGAACUACUCCACUCUGGUGAAGGUUUCUUCCCCAAAGCCACUCCUCAAGCUGACUUAUAUUGUACCUGAGUUGCAUGCCUGUGCUCCAAGAGCAGACGUCCUUCCGCAGGAGCAGGUCAUUAAGAGUCACUGCGUUGAUCAUGUAGAAGAGCUGUUUGAAUACCUGCAGGAUGAUCUCAGGGUCCAAGCCCUGGUCACACAUGACUGUAUGAAAGGCAUUCAUCUGGCGGAUGAAAGCUUCCAGGCGGUAUGAGUUAUCCCCAUCUGCCAUGCUGGAGGAGUGCUUCUGGGAGCCAGUGGGCUUCACACCAGAUAGACCCUGAAUGCUCUCAUUUUCCAACAUGGCAGAAACUAUCAUCGGCUGUAACGCACCCUCGGCAAUUUUAAAGAGCUGCUGGUAGAUCUGAAUGGAAAGGUCGCUCAGUACCUGACGGUAUUCGGUGAGGUCAAAGUUCUUAAGGCAGUGUUCGUUGUGCUUUGCUGUAUUCUGAGUCAUGAAGCCCUCAUCCCCGCUGUACCGCUUCAGACAGUGAAGAAGGUGGCAGGUGUUGGAUAACAGGAAUGACGUCAUCUCAAAGUCAUCACUGUGCUUCUUCAGGACUUUCUUAAUGCCGUUGGUGGUGGAGGUCAUCAGGGAGUGCACCUUGAGAUCAUCGUUGGUUUGGUCCGCGAGCCGAAUGCACAUGUAGAGGAUGUAGGCGGAGAGACAGGGCACUGUGUCCAACAGCAUCUGGGGCUUCAAGUCUGUCACCAGGUUGAGGAUGAGGAGGGCCUCGCCCUCUUUGCGGCACUCCAACAUGCCCUGGAAAUCCUUUUCUUUCCACUGAACUGGGACCUGCCUGUUGAACUCAUGGCGCUUCCUCUCACUCUGGGCCAACGCCUGGGCAGCUUCUUCAUGUAAAUCUUCAGUUGCUUUUAGAGCUUCCUCUCAUUCUUUUCCUCUUACUUUAUUUUUCACCACAGAGCUUCCUAUCAACUAGUAUGUUGAAUAUUUUGCUUAUUAACUUUGUUUAUUGUCUUCUCCCUCGAUUAGAAUAUUAGCUACUUGAGUACAAGGAUUUGAGCCUGUUACAUUCACUGCUGAAUUUUAGGCUCCUGGAAGAUACCCAGCAUUCAAUAGAGACCACACAAUAAAUAUAUGUCAAAUAAA
rnacentral:sRNA from 1 species